rnacentral:lncRNA from 1 species
AUGAGCAAUUGGUAAGAUGCAUAAUAGCUUUAUUUUAGUUGGAAUUCUUAUUUCCUCUUCCCAAAUCUAUCUUGAUAAAUAUUGAAUUUGUUAUUCGGCCCAUUCGAUCAUUGGAUCUAGAGGCAUUUUGUUUUAGACAUGUCGUGGUGCGUGGCUCUACCACUAUAUCCGAUUAAUGUGUUGCUUUCGACAUACCAGUAGACAUUCUGAUGAGCCUCACCAAGCAUGUGUCAUGU